UGUGGUCUCGCUUUGAAGAGACCAUACUUGAUACUUGUAACUCGUCAGUUAAGUGCGUUAAGUUAAGCGUAAUUAUUUAAUUAACGCCAAAUAAUUAACCAUUUUGAACUCUGUAAUCUGAAUUGUGCUGUUUCAACUUCGACGGUGCAGGACACACUAGUGUGAUUGGUUAUCAAAGAGAGGCAGAAAUGGCAGAAAGGUAACCUGAUGCAGUCCAUUCAUGUCAACACCACUGUCCAUCUCACUAUGUAGUAUGUGGACAAUAGGCAACCCAACCAUACUUUCCUCUACACUGAAGUCAAUUUAUCAUAAUUGAAAUUAAGUUGAUAUCUUCAUCACAACCCAUUUUGAUUUUGGUGUAGACCAAGGUCCUAAGAAGGUGGUAUCUAAGAAGUUUAACAAGAACAAGGCUUGUUGGUUUUUCUGUUACUUCGAAAAUUGAAU